rnacentral:rRNA from 1 species
CGAGCGAGCUUGCCUAGAUGAUUUUAGUGCUUGCACUAAAUGAAACUAGAUACAAGCGAGCGGCGGACGGGUGAGUAACACGUGGGUAACCUGCCCAAGAGACUAGGAUAACACCUGGAAACAGAUGCUAAUACCGGAUAACAACACUAGACGCAUGUCUAGAGUUUGAAAGAUGGUUCUGCUAUCACUCUUGGAUGGACCUGCGGUGCAUUAGCUAGUUGGUAAGGUAACGGCUUACCAAGGCAAUGAUGCAUAGCCGAGUUGAGAGACUGAUCGGCCACAUUGGGACUGAGACACGGCCCAAACUCCUACGGGAGGCAGCAGUAGGGAAUCUUCCACAAUGGACGAAAGUCUGAUGGAGCAACGCCGCGUGAGUGAAGAAGGGUUUCGGCUCGUAAAGCUCUGUUGGUAGUGAAGAAAGAUAGAGGUAGUAACUGGCCUUUAUUUGACGGUAAUUACUUAGAAAGUCACGGCUAACUACGUGCCAGCAGCCGCGGUAAUACGUAGGUGGCAAGCGUUGUCCGGAUUUAUUGGGCGUAAAGCGAGUGCAGGCGGUUCAAUAAGUCUGAUGUGAAAGCCUUCGGCUCAACCGGAGAAUUGCAUCAGAAACUGUUGAACUUGAGUGCAGAAGAGGAGAGUGGAACUCCAUGUGUAGCGGUGGAAUGCGUAGAUAUAUGGAAGAACACCAGUGGCGAAGGCGGCUCUCUGGUCUGCAACUGACGCUGAGGCUCGAAAGCAUGGGUAGCGAACAGGAUUAGAUACCCUGGUAGUCCAUGCCGUAAACGAUGAAUGCUAAGUGUUGGGAGGUUUCCGCCUC